ACAUCAAAUCCUCUAACUGAUCAAGCAAGGCCAGGGAUUGAACCCUGGUCCUCAUGGAUACUAGUCUGAUUCUUUACCUGCUGAGCCACAACAGGAACUCCUGGUGUAUAUUUUUUUCAUUGUCUCUACUACAUUACAUGCUGUUGAAAUGAACUAUGUACAUAUUUUGUAAAGAAAAAAAUGCAUUUAUGUUGCAAGCUAUAAAUAGAUGUUUUCUAAAUAAAUUUAAAAUAGGCAGAAAUUAAAAUAUAUUUUCUUAAUUGAAUAUUAAUUUCAUACUGGAUAAUCAAGUUUCUACAGUUUCAAAUCAUUAAAAAUAAUUUAGUACCUCUAUUAUGCAUUAUUACUAAAAGCUCUCCUGAAUUCCUUAUACAAAUUUUCACUUCGUGAAAAUAUAAAUAUAUGCAUAUAUAUAAAACUCAGAGAAGUUUGAGACACAGUUAUUUGAUCUGUAUCCCUGAAAGUCUAACUUUCUUUGUAUUCUCCCAUAUGGUCAGGAACUGAGACACUCUUUCUCCCCAGACCAUCUCCUUCCUUAAGAAGACAUGCCUAAAUGACACUCCAGAUGGGAUGUUUCUCCCAAAGGCCCUCCGACAUCUGCCUAGCCCAUCGGCCCUGCUUAAUAUCCACCUCUCUGAAGAUCACAGUCAGAUGUCCUGACAGCUCAAAACAGCAGUUGGAUUUUCCGUGAUGCUAUUGUUUGGAGGAAUCAAAACAGACCUACAGACUGAAGUUGGAAGCAAGUGAGAAAAAUCCUGGAUAGAUAUUUACAACCCUCCAAAGCUGAAGUCAUACUUCUAUCCUCAUUGAGAUUUGGAUUCAGUGCCAGGAUUACAAGUGGCAAGUGAGACGGCACUGUCUCCAAGUGUCCACAGCAAGGCUCUCCUCUUCAGGCCAUCAGGCUGGUAUCUUCCCAAAUGAGCUAUUUUCAAAGUCUGCUCUGACUCAAAAUGCCUCCUGCUCCUGCAGAGCUCUGCCUAAACUCUCUUCUUUUGGGGAGGCAAGAUCGGUAGAAUUAAGAGCAUGUAGUUCUCUCCUUCUCACUUACAACAGUUUUAGUGAAUUCAUUAAUUUGUGUAUUUUCAUGAUCUAUAUCACCUUUAAUAUAUAGGUCCUGUAAAGGCAAUGACGACAUCUGCCUUGUUCUUUUCCACAUCUACUGUGUCUGGCAUGUAAAUGGUAUUAAGUCCUUAUUGAAUGAAUGGCAGAGCAGGGGAAUGGUUAGAAACACAACUGAAGGGCAGGGUUGGUGGGUAGAGACACAUUUGCUGAUAUUUUCUGAUUAAAUAUGCAUUUGACAAUAUACACACAUCUUCUAUAGCUUUUUAGAAGUUGUCUAUGUGCUUCUGCUCUGGACCUCUGCACUUUCCAGCCAUGCCACUCCUUCCGGGAUGCCUUCCUUCUAUCAGUCUCUAUCCCAACAGCUAUCCUCUACCCUGCCCUUCCUUUUGAUGACCUAGCAUAUUCCUCCCCUUUGUUAUACAUUAGCAUGUGCAGACGGUCCAGGGGCUCCAUUUGUUGAGGAAGCGUUCAUGAGAGAGCAAGGCCCACUUGACAACUGUAUAGAGGCCUGGUCCUGUUUAUCAUAGCAUAUGCUAUAAAAGAUCAAAGCUGAGCAGAGAGGUCUGUUCAGGUCUUAUAUGUCCACAGAAUGUGACUCCCAAGGCUGCAUCUUCAUUACUGACACCUGCUUUCCAGGCCUCAGCUGCCUGCUCAACAUCCCCACAUAGAUUUCCUCCUCUCACAGCAGACUCCACAUGCCUCAAAUUAAACUCAUCGCUGGUGCCUUUUGCAGCAUUUAUCUUUUUAACAACUUAGCUCCCAUUCCAGAAUUCCUCAAUGGAAGCUUCAAUUGCUCUUUUUCAAUCGAUUUUUUUCUUUCACCUUUAUAUUCUGUUGCCAGUUCCUGUUGAUCCUCCCCCUUGAAAUGUCCAUUUGAUUUGCCCUUUUGUGUUGAGGUCUUCCAUUGCCAUCCCAACCUAAAUUUUCAUCACCAUAGUCUUCAUUCACCCAUAUUUUGUACUUUAAUAUUUAUAUCUAAAUUCACUUGGCAAACCAAUUUAAUCUUUCUAUGGCUCCCUUAAAAAAAAAAAAAAAAAAAAAAAAACUUCUGUUUCUCAUUUUCUAGCACAUGAAGAUCCAAAAAUCCAUGAAUGACUUCCCCAAAUCUGGCCCCACCCUACAUACUGGUCCAAUCUUACAUCCCAAGAUUCUUCAAGACACAUCAUAGUUCUCCAGGAAAAACAACAAAAACAUAUUAAUUAAGCAUCUACUUUGUGCCAGGCCAGUGAUUGGCUCUGGAGAUAAGGCAAAUCCAAGACAGUCAUGAUUCCUAUCCUUAUGCAUCCUACAGUUUACUUCAAGUUUUUUUCCUUUGACUCUUCCAGCAGUGCGCUGCCACUUAAUAUUUACUCACAUGCCAUUAUAUUGCUGACUUAUUCAACCAAAAAGUAUUUAUUAACCAUAUAAUUUCGGUAAGCACCAUGCUUGGCAGGUGGAAGCUUCAAGCCCUGGAAUUUGGAGAUUUCAUCACCAGUGUAUACCCAGUAUCCAUAACAAUACCUGGAGGUGGGCAAGUAGUCCAUAGCCCUCUUUAAAUGAAUGAGUCACAUAAUAAAAGGUUAUAAACAUUAAGCUGCCUGAAUUUAGAGGAGAGAGAAAUCAGAAUGCUGAGUUUGAAGAAGGCUGUGCUUUGGGGGAGGUGUGGGCUAUACACAGACUGAGAAGUAGGAGGGCAUUUCAAGCAAGUGCAGCACAUGAAUGUGAGGCAAGGAAGUGGGGCCAACUGCCCUUCACUCUCUGCUCCGUUUCCAUAGUGAUGGAGUAUACAGAGCCAUGCUAGCCCUUGAACCAGGAUUAUCCAUGCAACUAUGAUCUCACCUAUAAAAUGUGGGCAGAAACAAUAUGUACAGGGUCCACAUCAUCUGCUUUAAAAGUCAAUAGGAUAGGAUAUGUUGUGGAAUAAACACAAGUUUAUUUCUUGCUCACAAAAAUAUGCUACAAGCUCAGGGGACUUCUUUGCAUUCACUCAGGAGUCUCACUGGUUUCCAUCUCAUCGUACUUCCACAUCAGGUGUUUUGUGGUCACUGUGGCAAGGGGAGCAAGGGCUGGAAAGUCAAGCCCCAGCAAUGAAAACUUUAGCACACCAGUGACUCAGGCCACACUGGUUCCUAUCGCUUUAAUCAAAACCAAUCACCUGGCUGUGCCUAACCACAGAAGUGUAACCUUCUGUGUGCCUGUAAAUAGAAAAGAACUGGGUACUGGUAAAUAUUGUUAUCUCUAUUAUACAAAAUGAAAUUACGUGUCCUAGACCUAAUCUCUACUUCCUGAGGGCUAAGACACAUAUGUGCAACGACCAGUCUUUGACUAUAAAAGUGAGGAAAAUUCCCUAUGGAAUUAUGGAAAAAACAAGAUGAAAGGAACUAGAGUCCGUGAAUGAUUUUGUGGAGCAGAACCACUACACCAGGCUGGAACUCCCACUUCCAGACUAUUGUAGGGGAGAGAAAUAAAUUUCUAUCAGGUUCAA